rnacentral:rRNA from 1 species
UACGAAGGGGGCUAGCGUUGCUCGGAAUCACUGGGCGUAAAGGGUGCGUAGGCGGGUCUUUAAGUCAGGGGUGAAAUCCUGGAGCUCAACUCCAGAACUGCCUUUGAUACUGAGGAUCUUGAGUACGGGAGAGGUGAGUGGAACUGCGAGUGUAGAGGUGAAAUUCGUAGAUAUUCGCAAGAACACCAGUGGCGAAGGCGGCUCACUGGCCCGUAACUGACGCUGAGGCACGGAAAGCGUGGGAGCAAACAGGG